UGGCACUUACCGGGCGCGCGCGCCCCUCCUGUCCCCGGGCCCGCUCCGUAGGGGCGGAGCUCGGCACCCCCUCGGGAGAGGCCUCCCAGCCCCCAGGGGAGCUCCUGUGAGGGCCCCUCUGGGGCGGGGACCUCCUCAGUGUGCCGGCGACCCUUCCUCCCCGGGAAUGACCCUCCUGGCGCCUAAAGACCCCCUUUUCCUCCCAGGGACCGAGGCGCCCGGCACCUUCUGUACCUGUGACCCCCGACGCCCAAGGGAUCCAGGCCACAGGGAGCUUCAAGCUCCUUUGCAAUGAAAAAAGAAAACAACAAACAAACAAAACUUCGAGAAUGAAACUGACCCAGGACGGAGGCGCAGAGCCCGGGACGGUGUCCGUGUUCUAGGCGCACGCGGGGCCCCCGCCCGCCCGGUGGCUCUGACGACCCCGGAACGGCCAGUUUAGGAAGCGGGUUAAGAUCACGCGCCUGCAACACUUUUAAGCUUCAGAGCAGAGCAGUGUUAAUUCCGGUGUUGGCGAGAAACGGAGGGAAUUUCGCCCACGCAGACACUCCCCUGCCACAAGUGCCUUCCAGUUGCCACUUCUCCCAGCGGUUGGGCUCUUUAAAAGGCUCAGUCCAGUUCAAGAUGCUGGCAAACAGGUAUGGACCAAAUGGAAAGAAUUUGGCUUGAGUUAAUAAAUACGAAUAGAAUUCUUGGCCAAGGAUGAGAACUCUAAUCUGAUUGGAUAUCCUGCUCUGAUGGGUUAAAGGAUUUACCUGAGGCCAACUUGAUAGGGCUGGUGCUUGAAAGCUUUUCGAGGAGACAAGGUGUAUUUGAACAUGUGACGAUUGAUAUAUACAGAGUAGAGGUUUUCGCUUACUGUCCCUUUCAUGGUGGUAGCCGGGGAGGACUUUUGAAAAGGUGCCAAAUAUCUGCAAGAACAUAUAUCUGCCCCAUAGAGAAUUUCUGUAGAAUUCAACUCCAUUUAAACUAUUUACAAUCAUUUUUCUGCCAGCCAGCCCCAGCCUGCAGCUCAACGUAGUAACUAGACUAGCUAUUCUAUCAAUACAGCUAUCUUAAGAAAACUGUCAGCUGCUUGAAUUUACAAAGGUUAGUUCUAAAUCCCAUACUUUUGACUAUUCUAAACAUUGUAUGUUUCAAAGUAUCCUUUUAAAGACUUGUUUUUUUGUGCUUACAGUUUUUCCUAUAAUAGAUUAUUUUGAUUAAGUUUGACCCCUUUGACAGAUCAGUGGAUUCCUAAGGAUCAGGGAGGAGUUUGUUACAUAGGGUUUGGUCGGGGGUGGGUGUUGAAGAACUGCUCUACACUUUGAUUAUGGUGCUGUUUGCCUUUGGCAAAUUUUGGAGUGAGUUUUACUGAAUGUAAA